CCUACGGGACGCAGCAGUGAGGAAUAUUGGUCAAUGGUCGGGAGACUGAACCAGCCAAGCCGCGUGAGGGAGGAAGGUACAGAGUAUCGUAAACCUCUUUUGUCAGGGAACAAAGGCGGGGACGUGUCCCCGGAUGAGUGUACCUGAAGAAAAAGCAUCGGCUAACUCCGUGCCAGCAGCCGCGGUAAUACGUAGGUGGCAAGCGUUGUCCGGAUUUACUGGGUGUAAAGGGCGUGUAGCCGGGUUGACAAGUCAGAUGUGAAAUCCUGCGGCUUAACCGCAGAACUGCAUUUGAAACUGUUGAU
rnacentral:rRNA from 1 species